UUUACCCUACGGGGGGCAGCAGUGGGGAAUAUUGCACAAUGGGGGAAACCCUGAUGCAGCAACGCCGCGUGAGUGAAGAAGUAUUUCGGUAUGUAAAGCUCUAUCAGCAGGGAAGAAGAAAGACGGUACCUGACUAAGAAGCCCCGGCUAACUACGUGCCAGCAGCCGCGGUAAUACGUAGGGGGCAAGCGUUAUCCGGAUUUACUGGGUGUAAAGGGAGCGUAGACGGCAUAGCAAGUCUGAAGUGAAAGCCUGAGGCUCAA
rnacentral:rRNA from 1 species